rnacentral:rRNA from 1 species
GUAGGUGGCAAGCGUUGUCCGGAAUUAUUGGGCGUAAAGCGCGCGCAGGCGGUUCUUUAAGUCUGAUGUGAGAGCCCACGGCUCAGCCGUGGAGGGUCAUUGGAAACUGGAGAACUUGAGUACAGAAGAGGAAAGCGGAAUUCCACGUGUAGCGGUGAAAUGCGUAGAGAUGUGGAGGAACACCAGUGGCGAAGGCGGCUUUCUGGUCUGUAACUGACGCUGAGGCGCGAAAGCGUGGGGGAGCAAACAGGAUUAGAUACCCUGGUAGUCCACGCCGUAAACGAUGAGUGCUAAGUGUUAGGGGGUUUCCGCCCCUUAGUGCUGCAGCUAACGCAUUAAGCACUCCGCCUGGGAGUACGGCCGCAAGGCUG